AAGUCGUAACAAGGUUUCCGUAGGUGAACCUGCGGAAGGAUCAUUAAUGAAUAACUUUGGCGUGGUUGUAGCUGGCUCUUAGGAGCAUGUGCACACCCGUCAUCUUUAUCUUUCCACCUGUGCACACAAUGUAGAUCUGGAUAACUCUCGCUCUUCGGAGCGGAAACAAGGAUUGCUGCGUCGAAAGGCCAGCUCUCUUUGAAUUUCCAGGUCUAUGUCAUUUACAAACCCCAAUUGAAUGAUAAAGAAUGUAGUCAAUGGGCUCUAAGCCUAUAAAACAAAAUACAACUUUCAGCAACGGAUCUCUUGGCUCUC
rnacentral:misc_RNA from 1 species